rnacentral:tRNA from 1 species
UCCCUGGUGGCUCAGAGGUUAAAGCGUCUGCCUGCAAUGCAGGAGACCUGGGUUCAAUCCCCGGGUCUGGAAA